CUGAGUGGAAGCAACAGCAAAGAGCUUUAAUCAGGAUCACACAACAAUAAUGAAUGGAAACACGUCGUAGCCAAGAAAGUUGAGCAGCAACUAAAAGUAACUGUUUGUCGGCUUUUGAAAAGUUAUCUGCUGUAAGUGAUGGAUUGGCCAGGCGAAUUAGAAAGUACUUUGUGGAAGAGAAAGCAGCUGUACUUUUAUUGUUACUUUUGAAAGUGAAGUUUUGAAGGGAAACUACAGUGGGACACACUGUAAACCUUAAACGCGUGAGUAAGUGUAAAUGGCAUUUUGGGACAUUAAUACGAGGCUACUGCACUGUCAGCUGUUUUUGUUUUGGAGUGGAUUAUUUGGAUUAAUCCGUUAAUGAAAUUGUUGGAUUAUUUUUUAUUUUACUUGGAUUUAUCAUCACUGAAAGAAGCCGAAGGAUUGCGAGUUUUUUUUAUUUUUUAUUUUUUUAUCUAACUUGAGGAUACAACACAUCUGGGUGGAAAAAUGGGUAAUAUAGAAAGUGUGGACGGACAGUCGGAGAUGAAGCAUCACAUCAUGCCUCUGAAGGUGCCCAUGCCUGAUCCCACCGAGCUGGAGGAGAAAUUUGCCAUUGUUUUGAAUUCUAUGAACUUGCCUCCAGACAAAGCCCGGCUCCUCAGACAGUACGACAAUGAGAAGAAGUGGGACCUGAUCUGCGACCAGGAGAGGUUUCAGGUGAAGAAUCCGCCUCACACCUACAUCCAGAAGCUACGAGGAUACUUAGAUCCUGGAGUCACGCGAAAGAAGUUUCGCAGGCGGGUACAGGAAUCUACAAAAGUCUUGAGGGAGCUGGAGAUAUCGUUGAGGACAAACCACAUUGGGUGGGUCAGGGAGUUCCUCAAUGAUGAGAACAGAGGUCUUGACGUCCUGGUGGAGUACCUCUCCUUUGCCCAGUGUGCUGUCAUGUUGGAUUUUGAGGGUCUGGAGAAUGGGGAAGAAGGAUUCUUGGAUAAAACUAAAUCUUGGAGCAGGUCCAUAGAGGAUCUGCACCAUACAGGCACCCAACCGUUCUGCAAUACACUGGUGCGCUCUGCCCGCCAGUCUGUCCUCCGCUAUGGCUCAGUUUCGAACAGCAAAACCAUCAAGAACUCCCGCCUCGUCAGCCAAAAAGAUGAUGUGCAUGUGUGCAUCAUGUGCUUGAGAGCAAUCAUGAACUAUCAGUAUGGCUUCAAUAUGGUCAUGUCCCACGCACAUGCAGUCAAUGAAAUUGCUCUCAGCUUGAACAAUAAGAACUCAAGAACAAAAGCCUUGGUCCUUGAGUUGCUGGCUGCCGUCUGUCUAGUCCGAGGAGGUCAUGAGAUCAUCCUCUCAGCGUUUGACAACUUCAAGGAGGUGUGUAAAGAGAAGCAUCGCUUUGAGAGACUGAUGGAUUACUUCCGCUGUGAGGAGGGAAACAUUGACUACAUGGUUGCUUGCAUGCAGUUCAUCAACAUUGUGGUCCACUCAGUUGAGGACAUGAAUUUCAGGGUCCAUCUGCAGUAUGAAUUCACAAAGCUGGGACUGGAUGAUUACCUGGAGAAAUGCAAACAUACAGAGAGUGACAAGCUGUCGGUGCAGAUCCAGGCCUACCUGGAUAACGUGUUUGACGUGGGUGGUCUGUUGGAAGAUGCGGAGACGAAGAAUGCAGCCCUGGAGAAGGUGGAGGAACUGGAGGAGCACCUGUCCCAUGUGACGGAGAAGCUGCUGGAGGUUGAGAAUGAAACAAUGAUGAAAGUAGCUGAUCUGGAGAAGGUGCUCCUUCAGAAAGAUAAGGACCUGCAAGUAAUACGGGAGACAUACGAGUCAACCAACACCCAGGUCAACACCCUGAGGAGGGUCAUCAAGGAGAAGGAUGCUGCCUUCCAGAGGCACUUCAACAUCGAGAGGCGGCUGCUGGAGCUCGAACAGCAGGGCACCAUUCGUUUGCACAAGAAACCUGAUGGAGACAUUUCCAUCGAGCCCCUGGGAGUCGGGGGUGUGGGUGGUGUUGGGGGCAGCGGCCUUGGGAUCCCGCUGGGUGACAUUGGGCAGCUGUCUUUGGGUUUAACAGCUGGGUUAACAGAACCUGGAGGAACAGACACCAGUUUACCACCAGCCAGUGAAGCUCCUCCGCCUCCUCCACCACCUCCACCACCUCCCCCUCCUCUUCCGUCUGCCGCAGGCCCGAAUGCACCAGCCCCACCACCGCCACCUCCUCUCGCUCCACCACUGCCAGAUGCUUCUCCUUCUGUUAUCCUGAGUUUGGGUCUCUCAGCUAUCAGAAUCAAGAAGCCCAUCAAGACCAAGUUCCGCCUGCCUGUGUUUAACUGGACGGCUUUGAAGCCCAACCAGAUCAAUGGCACAGUCUUCAAUGAGAUUGAUGACGAACGUGUACUAGAGGAACUGGAUCUGGAGAAAUUUGAGGAGCUGUUCAAGACCAGAGCCCAAGGUCCAAUUGUGGAUCUUUCUUGCACAAAGAGCAAAGUAGCUCAGAAGGCGGUGAACAAAGUCACCCUUCUGGACGCAAAUCGCUCCAAGAACUUAGCCAUCACACUGCGCAAGGCUAACAAGACCACAGAAGAGAUCUGCAAAGCAAUAGAGAAGUUUGACCUCAAGGCCUUACCUGUCGACUUUGUGGAGUGCCUGAUGCGUUUUCUGCCCACGGAUGCGGAGGUGAAGGUCAUGCGUCAGUACGAGCGCGAGCGUCGUCCACUGGAUCAGCUAGCAGAGGAAGAUCGCUUCAUGUUAUUAUUCAGCAAGAUUGAGAGGCUCACGCAGAGAAUGAACAUCAUCACCUUUGUUGGGAACUUUUCUGACAACAUCAGCCUGCUCACGCCGCAGCUCAAUGCAAUCAUUGCUGCUUCUGGCUCAGUGAAAUCUGCUCCAAAGUUGAAAAAAAUGCUUGAGAUCAUCUUAGCCUUGGGAAACUACAUGAACAGCAGCAAGCGUGGCUGUGUUUAUGGCUUCAAAUUACAAAGUCUUGACCUGCUUCUUGACACUAAGUCUACAGACAGGAAGAUGACAUUGCUCCACUACAUAGCUCUCAUUGUGAAAGAGAAGUACCCUGAACUGGCCAACUUCUACAAUGAACUGCACUUUGUAGAUAAAGCUGCAGCAGUAUCUUUGGAAAAUGUGCUGCUGGAUGUUCGGGAGCUGGGGAAAGGCAUGGACCUGAUCCGGAGAGAGUGCAGUCUCCAUGACCAUUCAGUCCUGAAAGGCUUCAUCCAGGCCAGUGACACACAGUUGGACAAGCUUCAGAAAGAUGCCAAGACAGCAGAGGAAGCCUUCAACAAUGUGGUGAACUACUUCGGAGAGAGUGCCAAGACGACUCCACCCUCAGUGUUCUUCCCUGUGUUUGUGCGAUUCAUCAAGGCCUACAAGGAUGCAGUGGAAGAAAAUGAACAAAGGAAAAAGCAGGAGCAAGCAAUGAGAGAGAAGCUACUGGCUCAGGAGGCUAAACAGCAUGACCCCAAGGUCCAGGCCCAAAAGAAGAGGCAUCAGCAGCAGGAACUGAUCGCAGAACUGCGCAAGCGGCAAGCUAAAGAUCACCGGCCUGUGUACGAAGGAAAGGAUGGCACUAUUGAGGACAUCAUAACAGUACUGAAGAGCGUGCCCUUCACAGCCCGCACUGCUAAACGCGGCUCACGGUUCUUCUGUGAAGCCAACCUCUGUGACGACGCCAACUGCUAGCCCUUCCCCCCUAAUGCCAAGCUGAAAAGAAGAUUAAUGACAGUAUUUCCCACUCCUAAUAGAGGAUCUCCGAAACCAGCCUUUCCUGCGAGCUGACGCGUUGAUCCGGAGCGGUUGGAAGAGACCCUAAACCACUUAUUCGUCACUUAUACUCCCCCCUCCUUCCUAUUAUAACCUUCCUCCCUGUGUCCCGAUGGUCUGUCUCAACCCUGAGGCUGCAGAUCACAAAGACUGAAAAGAGGGACAGGACAGAGCCCUUGUUUUAGCUGGGUAAUUUAUUUAUUUAUGGAGGCCCUUUUACAGCCACUUUAAGUGAGCAGGCAUCAUUACAGAAGCACAAUGGGUCACUCCUGUCUCACUGCAAACACAAGACUUUCCCUGCUCUGUUGCCAUUGAGAAGGAGACAAGUUGGCAGACGACUACAAGACAGGUGAGGUCAGUCGAGGACUGGCGGACCACAAUGCAGGAAGAACUGUGCUUUCACUGGCAAGUGCCUGCCAACAUGUGGAUCUUAUUCCCAAGACCGUUAAUUUCCUCAGAUUAUGCAGUCGUAGCAGGACUUAGACUGGGUGGCAGCCAAGGGAAGAUACCAACUCUGCUGCUGGGAUGUUUGCCUUGAAGACACUUGCAAAACCUUCCUCCAAAUAACUGAGACGCUUCAAUAUUAUAAU